GGGUUGUGAGGUUAAGCGACUAAGCGUACACGGUGGAUGCCCUGGCAGUCAGAGGCGAUGAAGGGCGUGCUAAUCUGCGAUAAGCGCCGGUAAGGUGAUAUGAACCGUUAUAACCGGCGAUACCCGAAUGGGGAAACCCAGUGUGACUCGUCACACUAUCAUUAACUGAAUCCAUAGGUUAAUGAGGCGAACCGGGGGAACUGAAACAUCUAAGUACCCCGAGGAAAAGAAAUCAACCGAGAUUCCCCCAGUAGCGGCGAGCGAACGGGGAGGAGCCCAGAGCCUGAAUCAGCAUGUGUGUUAGUGGAAGCGUCUGGAAAGGCGCGCGAUACAGGGUGACAGCCCCGUACACAAAAGCGCAUGUGCUGUGAGCUCGAUGAGUAGGGCGGGACACGUGGUAUCCUGUCUGAAUAUGGGGGGACCAUCCUCCAAGGCUAAAUACUCCUGACUGACCGAUAGUGAACCAGUACCGUGAGGGAAAGGCGAAAAGAACCCCGGCGAGGGGAGUGAAAAAGAACCUGAAACCGUGUACGUACAAGCAGUGGGAGCACCCUUUGGGUGUGACUGCGUACCUUUUGUAUAAUGGGUCAGCGACUUAUAUUC
rnacentral:rRNA from 1 species